rnacentral:rRNA from 1 species
AGUGAACGCUGGCGGUAGGCCUAACACAUGCAAGUCGAACGGCAGCACAGUAAGAGCUUGCUCUUACGGGUGGCGAGUGGCGGACGGGUGAGGAAUACAUCGGAAUCUACUUUUUCGUGGGGGAUAACGUAGGGAAACUUACGCUAAUACCGCAUACGACCUAAGGGUGAAAGCAGGGGAUCUUCGGACCUUGCGCGAUUGAAUGAGCCGAUGUCGGAUUAGCUAGUUGGCGGGGUAAAGGCCCACCAAGGCGACGAUCCGUAGCUGGUCUGAGAGGAUGAUCAGCCACACUGGAACUGAGACACGGUCCAGACUCCUACGGGAGGCAGCAGUGGGGAAUAUUGGACAAUGGGCGCAAGCCUGAUCCAGCCAUACCGCGUGGGUGAAGAAGGCCUUCGGGUUGUAAAGCCCUUUUGUUGGGAAAGAAAAGCAGCAGGUUAAUACCCCGCUGUUCUGGCGGUACCCAAAGAAUAAGCACCGGCUAACUUCGUG